UACGUAGGGUGCGAGCGUUGUCCGGAAUUAUUGGGCGUAAAGAGCUCGUAGGCGGCUUGUCACGUCGGAUGUGAAAACCCGGGGCUCAACCCCGGGCCUGCAUUCGAUACGGGCAGGCUAGAGUUCGGCAGGGGAGACUGGAAUUCCUGGUGUAGCGGUGAAAUGCGCAGAUAUCAGGAGGAACACCGGUGGCGAAGGCGGUGGGCUGGGCCGGAACUGACGCUGAGGAGCGAAAGCGUGGGGAGCGAACAGG
rnacentral:rRNA from 1 species